AUUGAACGCUGGCGGCAUGCUUUACACAUGCAAGUCGAACGGUAACAGGGAGCUUGCUCCGCUGACGAGUGGCGAACGGGUGAGUAAUGCGUCGGAACGUGCCGAGUAGUGGGGGAUAACGCAGCGAAAGUUGUGCUAAUACCGCAUACGUACUGAGGUAGAAAGUGGGGGACCUUCGGGCCUCACGCUAUUCGAGCGGCCGACGUCUGAUUAGCUAGUAGGUGGGGUAAAGGCUCACCUAGGCGACGAUAAGUAGCGGGUCUGAGAGGAUGAUCCGCCACACUGGGACUGAGACACGGCCCAGACUCCUACGGGAGGCAGCAGUGGGGAAUUUUGGACAAUGGGCGAAAGCCUGAUCCAGCCAUGCCGCGUGUCUGAAGAAGGCCUUCGGGUUGUAAAGGACUUUUGUCGGGGAGGAAAUCCCCAGCGUUAAUACCGCUGGGGGAUGACAGUACCUGAAGAAUAAGCACCGGCUAACUACGUGCCAGCCGCCGCCGUAA
rnacentral:rRNA from 1 species